CUGGUGUAAUCCAGAUAAAGUGUAUGUAGUAGAGUUAGUAGUAUUGUACCAGUGUUAAAACCUUCGUUUUGGCUGGCCCGAGCCCGAGUCCUGGCCUCUCAUCUUACUCUCCGAACAACAUGAGCUUCACCACCCACUCCACCUUCUCUUCCAACUAUCAGUCCCUGGGCUCCAUGCAGUUGCCCAGCCACCGGGUCCGGCCCAUCAGCAGCGUGGCCAGCGUCUAUGCAGGCGCCGGAGGCUCAGGCUCCCGGAUCUCCGUAUCCUGCUCCACCAGCUUCCGGGGCGGCUGGGGGUCCGGGGGCCUGGCCACGGGGUUGGCCGCCGGGAUGGCGGGGGGUCUGGCCGGCAUAGGGGGCAUGCAGGGCAAGAAGGAGACCAUGCAAGACCUGAAUGACCGCCUGAUCUCCUACCUGGUGAGGGUGAGGAGCCUGGAGGCAGAUUAAUCAGAGACUGGAGGUGAGAAUCCGGGAAUACCUGGAUAAGAAGGGACCCCAGGUCAGAGACUGGGGGCAUUACUUCAAGACCAUCGAGGAGCUGAGGUCUCAGAUUUUUGCAACUUCUGUGGACAAUGCCUGCAUCGUUCUGCAGAUUGACAAUGCCCGUCUUGCUGCUGAUGACUUCAGAGUCAAGUAUGAGACAGAGCCGGCCAUGCGCCAGUCCAUGGAGAGUGACAUCCACGGGCUUCGCAAUGUCAUCGAUGACACCAAUGUCACUAGGCUGCAGCUGGAGACAGAGAUUGAGGCUCUCAAGGAGGAGUUGCUCUUCAUGAAGAAGAACCAUGAGGAGGAAGUAAAGGGUCUACAGAACCAAAUUGCCAACUCCGGGUUGACUGUGGAGUUGGAUGCCCCCAAGUCUCAGGACCUCAGCAAGAUCAUGGCAGACAUCCGGGCCCGGUAUGACGAGCUGGCUCGGAAGAACCGAGAGGAGCUGGACAAGUACUGGUCCCAGCAGAUUGAGGAAAGCACCACAGUGGUCACCACACAGACCACGGAGAUAGGAGAGGCUGAGAUGACCCUCACGGAGCUGAGACGUACCGCCCAGUCCUUGGAGAUCAACCUGGACUCGAUGAGAAACCUGAAGGCCAGCUUAGAGAACAGCCUUAGGGAGGUCGAAACCCGAUACGCCAUGCAGAUGGAGCAGCUCAACGGGGUCCUGCUGCACCUGGAGUCUGAGCUGUCCCAGACCCCGGCAGAGGGGCAGCGCCAGGCCCAGGAGUACAAAGCCCUGUUGAAUGUCAAGGUCAAGCUGGAGGCUGAGAUCGCCACCUACCGUCGCCUGCUGGAAGAUGCGGAGGACUUCAGUCUCAGUGACGCCCUGGACAGCAGCAGCUCCAUGCAGACCAUCCAGAAAACCACUACCCGCAGGAUUGUGGACGGCAAGGUCGUGUCUGAGACCAAUGACACCAAAGUUCUGAGGCGUUGAGGGAGCAGAAGCAGGGUACCCUAUGGGGAGCAGGAGGCCAAUAAAAAGUUCCAAG